rnacentral:rRNA from 1 species
AACGUAGGACGCAAGCGUUAUCCGGAGUUACUGGGCGUAAAGCGCGGGCAGGCGGCCUGCAAAGUCUGAUGUGAAAGCGCCCGGCUCAACCGGGCGAGGCCAUUGGAAACUAGUAGGCUGGAGGGCAGUAGAGGCAGGCGGAAUUCCGGGUGGAGUGGUGAAAUGCGUAGAGAUCCGGAGGAACACCAGAGGCGAAGGCGGCCUGCUGGGCUGCACCUGACGCUGAGCCGCGAAAGCCAGGGGAGCGAACGGG